rnacentral:rRNA from 1 species
GACGAACGCUGGCGGCGUGCCUAAUACAUGCAAGUUGAGCGCUGAAGGUUGGUACUUGUACCAACUGGAUGAGCAGCGAACGGGUGAGUAACGCGUGGGGAAUCUGCCUUUGAGCGGGGGACAACAUUUGGAAACGAAUGCUAAUACCGCAUAAAAACUUUAAACACAAGUUUUAAGUUUGAAAGAUGCAAUUGCAUCACUCAAAGAUGAUCCCGCGUUGUAUUAGCUAGUUGGUGAGGUAAAGGCUCACCAAGGCGAUGAUACAUAGCCGACCUGAGAGGGUGGUCGGCCACAUUGGGACUGAGACACGGCCCAAACUCCUACGGGAGGCAGCAGUAGGGGAUCUUCGGCAAUGGACGAAAGUCUGACCGAGCAACGCCGCGUGAGUGAAGAAGGGUUUCGGAUCGUAAAACUCUGUUGGUAGAGAAGAACGUUGGUGAGAGUGGAAAGCUCAUCAAGUGACGGUAACUACCCAGAAAGGGACGGCUAACUACGUG